CCAGGGAGGUCGGCACGACCACCCAGGGCCGGAUAGUUGGUCAAACUCGGUCAUUUAGAGGAAGUAAAAGUCGUAACAAGGUCUCCGUAGGUGAACCUGCGGAGGGAUCAUU
rnacentral:rRNA from 1 species